UCCAGACUCCUACGGGAGGCAGCAGUGAGGAAUAUUGGUCAAUGGCCGCAGGGCUGAACCAGCCAAGUCGCGUGAGGGAUGACGGUCCUAUGGAUUGUAAACCUCUUUUGUCAGGGAGCAAAGGGCGCCACGUGUGGCGUUUUGCGAGUACCUGAAGAAAAAGCAUCGGCUAACUCCGUGCCAGCAGCCGCGGUAAUACGGAGGAUGCGAGCGUUAUCCGGAUUUAUUGGGUUUAAAGGGUGCGCAGGCGGAAUGUCAAGUCAGCGGUAAAAUUUCGGGGCUCAACCCCGUCGUGCCGUUGAAACUGGCGUGCUCGAGUUGGAGAGAAGUAUGCGGAAUUCGUGGUGUAGCGGUGAAAUGCAUAGAUAUCAGGAGGAACACCAGUGGCGAAGGCGACUUUCUGGACAGUAACUGACGUUGAGGCACGAAAGUGUGGGGAGCAAACAGGAUUAGAUACCCCCGUAG
rnacentral:rRNA from 1 species